rnacentral:tRNA from 1 species
UUUGGGCCGUUAGCUAGAAAACUUGAAAAUCCGUUGGCUUUAUUGACCGUGAGGGUUCAAGUCCCUCUACCCCCA